rnacentral:rRNA from 1 species
UACGUAGGGUCCGAGCGUUGUCCGGAGUUACUGGGCGUAAAGCGCGCGCAGGCGGCCCGGCAAGCAUGGCGUGAAAGCCCCCGGCUCAACCGGGGAGGGUCGUCGUGGACUGCCGGGCUUGAGGGCGGUAGGGGUUGGUGGAAUGCCCGGUGUAGUGGUGAAAUGCGUAGAGAUCGGGCGGAACACCCGUGGCGAAGGCGGCCAACUGGGCCGACCCUGACGCUGAGGCGCGAAGGCGUGGGGAGCGAACGGG